GUGUGAAGCAAGAAGUUGAACCAAAGACAGGAAUUUCCUUCCCUGCCAAGCUGAGUGAUGGGAAGCAGCUGGGUGCUAUGGGGUUGAGGAGGAAGAAGAUCCUUGCCCUAGGCAUCAACAUCUAUGCCUUCGGGAUUUAUGCUGAUGACAUUAUGCUGAAGGAGCUACUUAAAGCCAAAUUCAGCCAACCCCCUCAAAGCCCAACAAAAGAACUCUACGA
rnacentral:misc_RNA from 1 species